UACGGGGGGGGUAAGCGUUGUUCGGAAUUACUGGGCGUAAAGGGCUCGUAGGCGGCCAACUAAGCCAGACGUGAAAUCCCUCAGCUUAACUGGGGAACUGCGUCUGAUACUGGAUGGCUUGGAUUUGGGAGAGGGAUGCGGAAUUCCAGGUGUAGCGGUGAAAUGCGUAGAUAUCUGGAGGAACACCGGUGGCGAAGGCGGCAUCCUGGACCAACACUGACACUGAGGAGCGAAAGCCAGGGGAGCAAACGGG
rnacentral:rRNA from 1 species